AUUGAACGCUGGCGGCAUGCCUUACACAUGCAAGUCGAACGGUAACAGGUCUUCGGAUGCUGACGAGUGGCGAACGGGUGAGUAAUACAUCGGAACGUGCCUAGUAGUGGGGGAUAACUACUCGAAAGAGUGGCUAAUACCGCAUGAGAUCUACGGAUGAAAGCAGGGGAUCGCAAGACCUUGUGCUACUAGAGCGGCCGAUGGCAGAUGAGGUAGUUGGUGGGAUAAAAGCUUACCAAGCCGACGAUCGGUAGCUGGUCUGAGAGGACGAUCAGCCACCCUGGGACGGGGACACGGCCCAGACUCCUACGGGAGGCAGCAGUGGGGAAUUUUGGACACUGGGCGCAAGCCGGAUCCAGCAAUGCCGCGUGCAGGAUGAAGGCCUUCGGGUUAUAAACUGCUUUUGUACGGAACGAAAAGCCCUGGGUUAAUACCCUGGGGUCAUGACGGUACCGUAAGAAUAAGCACCGGCUAACUACGUGCCAGCAGCCGCCGUAA
rnacentral:rRNA from 1 species